CCUACGGGCGGCAGCAGUGAGGAAUAUUGGUCAAUGGGAGAGAUCCUGAACCACCCAAGCCGCGUGAGGGAAGACGGCCCUAUGGGUUGUAAACCUCUUUUGUCGGAGAACAAAACCAGGGAAGUGUCCCGGACUGCGUGUAUCCGAAGAAAAAGCAUCGGCUAACUCCGUGCCAGCAGACGAGGGAAUACGGGGGAUGCGAGCGUUAGCCGGAUUGAUUGGGGUUAUAGGGUGCGUGGGCGGGCCGUUAAGUCAGCGGGAAAAUUGCGGGGCUCAACCCCGUCGAGCCGUUGAAACUGGCAGACUAGAGGUGGCUAGAAGGACGCGGAAUGCGCGGUGUAGCGGUGAAAUGCAGAGAUAUCGCGCAGAACUCCGAUUGCGAAGGCAGCGUACCGGCGCCAGACUGACGCUGAGGCACGAAAGCGUGGGGAUCGAACAGGAUUAGAUACCCUUGUAGUC
rnacentral:rRNA from 1 species